rnacentral:lncRNA from 1 species
AGCCACCCUCCCGUGAUUAUGAAAUCGGCCUGCAGUGGAGCAGAGCUCUCGCCCAAAGGUCCCCGAGCCGGCAGCGGGCUGCACAGCGGGUUGACACAUGGUGUCACUGGUCCCUAAGCCUGUUCGCUCAGGUCCCUGGAGGAGGGGUGGCCACGCCUGUGGCCUUCGCCCAGGAGUCAAACCACCCUCCAACCAUCCCCUGCUGUCGGUCACAAAGGGACAAAAAGCAAGGAGGUGCGGAGGGCGCCGGGCCAGCCCGCCUCACCGCGAGCGGCUGUGACUUUGCAGACGGCAGACAGCGCCAUGCCACCCGAACAGCACCCGGAUCAGGCAGGCUGCACGCAGGCUGGACGACUUCCCAGACGGACACUUCCUCCCUUAUACCAUAGCAAACAGGCGGUGCGUUUCUCCUGUGCUGCUUCUCCUGGUCUGGAAUGGGCCAUUUAUUCCUUUGCAUCCCCUGGAGCGAAGGGACCGGUUCUCACACGCCUUGCUCUCUCCAUCCUUAGCCCAGCUCAUGGUACCCAGGAUGCGGCUGACUAGAUGUUGCAGAACUGGGCAGAACGCGGAACAGAAAGGACAUGAUUGGCUGAGAUCUCUCAAAGCCGA